UACAGAGGUCCCAAGCGUUGUUCGGAUUCACUGGGCGUAAAGGGUGCGUAGGUGGCUUGGUAAGUCUGAUGUGAAAGCUCAGGGCUCAACCCUGAAAUGGCAUUGAAUACUGUCGGGCUUGAGGUCUGGAGGGGGGACUGGAAUUCUCGGUGUAGCAGUGAAAUGCGUAGAUAUCGAGAGGAACACCAGAGGUGAAGACGGGUUGCUGGGCUGACACUGACGCUGAGGCGCGAAAGCCAGGGGAGCAAACGGG
rnacentral:rRNA from 1 species